GAUGAACGCUGGCGGCGUGCCUAAUACAUGCAAGUCGAGCGAACGGACGAGAAGCUUGCUUUUCUGAUGUUAGCGGCGGACGGGUGAGUAACACGUGGAUAACCUCCCUAUAAGACUGGGAUAACUUCGGGAAACCGGAGCUAAUAACGGAUAAUAUUUUGAACCGCAUGGUUCAAAAGUGAAAGACGGUCUUGCUGUCACUUAUAGAUGGAUCCGCGCUGCAUUAGCUAGUUGGUAAGGUAACGGCUUACCAAGGCAACGAUGCAUAGCUGACCUGAGAGGGUGAUCGGCCAGACUGGAACUGAGACACGGUCCAGACUCCUACGGGAGGCAGCAGGAGGGAAUCUUCCGAAAUGGGCGAAAGCCUGACGGAGCAACGCCGCGUGAGUGAUGAAGGUCUUCGGAUCGUAAAACUCUGUUAUUAGGGAAGAACAUAUGUGUAAGUAACUGUGCACAUCUUGACGGUACCUAAUCAGAAAGCCACGGCUAACUACGUG
rnacentral:rRNA from 1 species